rnacentral:rRNA from 1 species
UACGUAGGGUGCGAGCGUUGUCCGGAAUUAUUGGGCGUAAAGGGCUCGUAGGCGGUUUGUCGCGUCGGGAGUGAAAUCCACUGGCUUAACUGGUGGCUUGCUUUCGAUACGGGCAGACUGGAGGUAUGCAGGGGAGAACGGAAUUCCUGGUGUAGCGGUGAAAUGCGCAGAUAUCAGGAGGAACACCGGUGGCGAAGGCGGUUCUCUGGGCAUUACCUGACGCUGAGGCGCGAAAGCUAGGGGAGCAAACAGG